rnacentral:ncRNA from 2 species
UACCAUAAAAUACUCCGAGCCUGGCAGUCUAAGGCAAAGCUAUGAAUACCAGGCCGUUAGGGUUUAAUGGGAAACCGUUAAGCCUCCCCUGUGGAAAGGAGUACAGUUUGAACCUGG